rnacentral:ncRNA from 1 species
AUACGAAAUGGCAAACCUGUCGAAAGGCAGGGACGCAAAGCUAUAGGGCCUUCUAUUGAUGAUGGCAGCCUGGCCACCGAAA